GACGAACGCUGGCGGCGUGCUUAACACAUGCAAGUCGAACGGAAAGGCCCUGCUUUUGUGGGGUGCUCGAGUGGCGAACGGGUGAGUAACACGUGAGUAACCUGCCCUUGACUUUGGGAUAACUUCAGGAAACUGGGGCUAAUACCGGAUAGGAGCUCCUGCUGCAUGGUGGGGGUUGGAAAGUUUCGGCGGUUGGGGAUGGACUCGCGGCUUAUCAGCUUGUUGGUGGGGUAGUGGCUUACCAAGGCUUUGACGGGUAGCCGGCCUGAGAGGGUGACCGGCCACAUUGGGACUGAGAUACGGCCCAGACUCCUACGGGAGGCAGCAGUGGGGAAUAUUGCACAAUGGGCGGAAGCCUGAUGCAGCAACGCCGCGUGCGGGAUGACGGCCUUCGGGUUGUAAACCGCUUUCGCCUGUGACGAAGCGUGAGUGACGGUAAUGGGUAAAGAAGCACCGGCUAACUACGUGCCAGCAGCCGCGGUGAUACGUAGGGUGCGAGCGUUGUCCGGAUUUAUUGGGCGUAAAGGGCUCGUAGGUGGUUGAUCGCGUCGGAAGUGUAAUCUUGGGGCUUAACCCUGAGCGUGCUUUCGAUACGGGUUGACUUGAGGAAGGUAGGGGAGAAUGGAAUUCCUGGUGGAGCGGUGGAAUGCGCAGAUAUCAGGAGGAACACCAGUGGCGAAGGCGGUUCUCUGGGCCUUUCCUGACGCUGAGGAGCGAAAGCGUGGGGAGCGAACAGGCUUAGAUACCCUGGUAGUCCACGCUGUAAACGGUGGGUACUAGGUGUGAGGUCCAUUCCACGGGUUCCGUGCCGUAGCUAACGCUUUAAGUACCCCGCCUGGGGAGUACGGCCGCAAGGCUAAAACUCAAAGGAAUUGACGGGGCCCCGCACAAGCGGCGGAGCAUGCGGAUUAAUUCGAUGCAACGCGUAGAACCUUACCUGGGUUUGACAUGGAUCGGGAGUGCUCAGAGAUGGGUGUGCCUCUUUUGGGGUCGGUUCACAGGUGGUGCAUGGCUGUCGUCAGCUCGUGUCGUGAGAUGUUGGGUUAAGUCCCGCAACGAGCGCAACCCUUGUUCACUGUUGCCAGCACGUUAUGGUGGGGACUCAGUGGAGACCGCCGGGGUCAACUCGGAGGAAGGUGGGGAUGACGUCAAGUCAUCAUGCCCCUUAUGUCCAGGGCUUCACGCAUGCUACAAUGGCUGGUACAGAGAGUGGCGAGCCUGUGAGGGUGAGCGAAUCUCGGAAAGCCGGUCCCAGUUCGGAUUGGGGUCUGCAACUCGACCUCAUGAAGUCGGAGUCGCUAGUAAUCGCAGAUCAGCAACGCUGCGGUGAAUACGUUCCCGGG
rnacentral:rRNA from 1 species